UUUGCUGAGUUUAACCGAAUCGCCAGUAGGAAUCUUGAGGGACACUUCUUUGAGGCUCUGGACCAGUACGCCCCACGUUUCAUCGAACUUUUCAAAACAAAAAAGGGAGCUGUUGGCCACAAACUCAGUGAGCUGAUGCAGCACAUGAGCUGGAUGACACCAGACGUGACAGUACUUCGCUCUGUUGUCCUCAAAGGCAUUCCCAUUUUACUCGGUGAAGACUCCAGUGAAUUCUUCAAGACCUGCUCUGAUACAGCGAGAGAUGAGGCCCUAGAAUGCAUCACUGUCUGUGUGCUGACAGUUAUCAGUGAAGAUAGUCCUCACGAGGGUCAAAGCUCAGUGGACCUCCAGCCCAUCUCCACUGCCAUCAUUCUGGAGGGAGGUAUUGUCAUGGAUCAUACUAAAAACUUGCCUCAGGCAGUUUGUCUGUUGUUUGGGCUUACAUAUGCAUUACAUCUGGAUUACCCAAAAUGCAUGGCAAAUACACUCAACUUCAUUCAGACUGUGAUGCUUGGACUGGGAAAGAAAAACCUCCCACCAAAACUGUUAACUCUGAAGAACAGUCUUCUGGGUUAAAGAGCCAUCAUCUGUAAAUAGCACUUUGUAAGCUUUGCAGCUAUUAAUGUUCUCCUGUUAUCAUAGAAAGUUUGACGCUGUCAUGCAACUAUUCUCUCUUAUUUACGAUCUCAAUAACAAAAAAAACAUUUAAAAAAAAAGAAGCAUUAAAGUCUGUAUGUUAUGCAGGUAUGGUAA